ACGGUGCUGCAUCUGGACGGCUGCCUCAAGCCAUUGAAAGGCAAGAGCAACCCACGUCCAUAAAAGGAGAGGAUUAUGCAAGAAUAAGGAUCUCGGCUGAUUCUUGAGAGAGGGCAGAUUCGGGGGCUGUGAGAAAAGAAAAAGGGAACCAAAGGGUGGACUCUGGAGGCAAGGGGGGAUUCUGGACGACAAAAGAAGAAAAACAGAGGAGGGCAGAUCAUGCAUCUCGGUUGAUUCUUUAGAGAGAGGAGCAGAAUAGAGAGAGGGGGGAACAUAAAACGAGGGCAGUGAAGAGCAGAGAAGGAGAGAGAGGGGGAAGUAGAGGAGCAGGAUAGCAGCAAAAGAAGAGAAGCAGAGGAAAGCUUUCCAGGAAUUUCUCUCCAGAUAUGGAAUAUCACAAUGAUACCAUGACAUUGUGUUCGACAAAAUUGCAAGGCAUUUGGACAAACACCCAAUGCAGGAUCGAUUGACACUGAUAUAAUUUAUUGCAACACACUCCUCCAUAUGGAAUGUACAAAUUGGAUGCAAAAGGGAGCGAGUCAUUUCACGAAAUGCUCAAAACCCAGGAACAAUUGUGUGCUGAUGGGGUUAAAUCCAGACAACAAACAUAUAGCAUGAGGGCUUUUGUGGUAGCAUAUAAGUAAAUGCAAGAAGAACCUGUUUAAGUUGAUUUUCUUAGUAGAUAUGCUAGCAUGGUUUUUUUU